ensembl:rRNA 5S_rRNA 5S ribosomal RNA
GCCAGCAGCUAUCACUCCGAACCUCUCACCUGGUUGAUCACUGAAGCUAAGCAGGGUUGAGCCUGUUCAGUACUUUGGAUGGGAGACCUCUUGGGAAAAGUAGGUUGCUGCUGGAA